rnacentral:rRNA from 1 species
UACGUAGGGACCAAGCGUUGUUCGGAUUUACUGGGCGUAAAGGGCGCGUAGGCGGCGUGACAAGUCACUUGUGAAAUCUCCGGGCUUAACUCGGAACGGCCAAGUGAUACUGUCGUGCUAGAGUGCAGAAGGGGCAAUCGGAAUUCUUGGUGUAGCGGUGAAAUGCGUAGAUAUCAAGAGGAACACCUGAGGUGAAGACGGGUUGCUGGGCUGACACUGACGCUGAAGCGCGAAAGCUAGGGGAGCAAACAGG